rnacentral:rRNA from 1 species
GGAUUCCAAUCUCGAGUGGCGGACGGGUGAGUAAUGUCUGGGAAACUGCCUGAUGGAGGGGGAUAACUACUGGAAACGGUAGCUAAUACCGCAUACCAUCAGAUUUGCCCAUAUGGGAUUAGCUUGUUGGUUGGGUAACGGCUCACCAAGGCGACGAUCCCUAGCUGAUCUGGGAGGAUGACCAGCAACACUGGAAAGGAGACACGUUCCAGACGACUAUGGGAGGCAGCAGUUGGGAAUAUUGUACAAGGGGAGCAAGCCUGAUGAAGCCAUUCUGCGGGUAUGAAGAAGGCCUUCGGGUUGGAAAGUACUUUCAGCGGGGAGGCGGUACCCGCAGAAGAAGCACCGACGAACUCCGUGCCAGCAGCCGCGGUAAUAC